rnacentral:rRNA from 1 species
AUGUGGUUCUCGGCAUUGCUGGCUUGCAUAGCAGUAACGACGCUGAUCACCAUUCUGCACAAACACAGCCGAAAGAGAGUUUCUCCUCCAUGGCCCCCGGGCCCUGCCGGACACCCCAUCCUCGGCAACUUGCUCUAUGUCAUCGGGCCGCUCCGCAAUAACCCACACACCGCGCUCGCCUCCCUCGCUCAAACCUAUGGACCCAUCUUGUCCCUCCGCCUUAGUCUGACCCGCACCAUUGUGGUGGUGUCAUCCGCCGCGGCGGCUCACGAGGCCCUCGUCAAGAAUGAUGCAGCGCUCGCGUCCCGGCUUGUGCCAGACACCGUCUGCACCAUGUCGUAUGGCGCGACGUCCAUGGUCUUCCUUCCAAGUUCCAACCCGCUGUGGAAGCAGGACCGCAUCAUCAUGGGGGCCCGCUUCUGCUCCGGCCGGGGCUUGGACACAAUCCGGCCCAUCUUGGAAUGCCAUGCCGGGCAUCUCACCGAGUACUUGAGGGCAUGCUCUGGCACCGGCAGGCCGGUCAUAAUUAGGGAGGCCGUGAACCGCACGGUGCUCAAUGUCAUAUCCAACAUCCUCUUCUCCGAGGAUGUGGUGGACUUGCGUGCGCCGGGGCCCCAACCUUUCAGGGGACUCAUAGUGCCGGUACUAGAGGAGUGGUCGAAAUCCAACGUCUCCGACGCCUUUCCAUUCCCCUCACCAAUUGACCACCUCCUCGGCUCUCGCCGCCGCAUCUCCAUACAUCUCGCCAAACUGUUCAACUUCUUUGACCAAGAGAUUGUUCAGCGCCGGUUAGCUAGAACUGGCACUGGCAAUGAGAACACCAAUGACGUGUUGGACAUUCUCCUCGCGCGCCAAGCCAUGUCCAAGCUCACGCGGCAAGAAAUCAUCACGUUCCUAACUGAUAUGUUCAUCGCGGCAAGUGACACGAGCACGGUUACUGUGCAGUGGGCUAUGACGCAGCUACUGCGCCACCCAGAGAAGAUGGACAAGGUACGGAACGAGCUCGCAACAUGCCUUGCAGCCGGGUCGAGUGACUUUGUCAAGGAGAGUGACCUCGACAACCUUCCCUAUCUCCAUGCCGUGGUGAGGAGACGCUGCGGCUGCACCCAGCAGUACCAUUGA